AUACGUAGGGGGCAAGCGUUGUUCGGAAUUACUGGGCGUAAAGCGCACGUAGGCGGACAUUUAAGUCAGGGGUGAAAUCCCGGGGCUCAACCCCGGAACUGCCUUUGAUACUGGGUGUCUAGAGUCCGGAAGAGGUGAGUGGAAUUCCGAGUGUAGAGGUGAAAUUCGUAGAUAUUCGGAGGAACACCAGUGGCGAAGGCGGCUCACUGGUCCGGUACUGACGCUGAGGUGCGAAAGCGUGGGGAGCAAACAGG
rnacentral:rRNA from 1 species